rnacentral:tRNA from 1 species
UUUAAUAUGGCAGAUUAGUGCAAUGAACUUAAACUUCAUAUAUAAAAAAAUUUUUUUUUAUUAAAA